rnacentral:lncRNA from 1 species
NNNNNNNNNNNNNNGCCACUGUGGUGGAUUCUUAUCCAGUUGAGUUAAUCCUUUCCCUUAUUUUAGAACUAUUUAAUUUGUAGAUAUUCAAAACAUUUUAUAUCUACUUCCAUAACUAAUUCUUUUAUGGCCAUGCAUCACCUAAUGACAGCAAUACAUUCUGAUAAAUGUGUCCUUAGGUGAUUUCAUUGCUGUGCCAACAUCAUAGAGCGUACUUCCACAAACCUAGAUAGGUGCAGCUUACUAAACACCCAGGCUAUAUGGUAUAGCCUAUUGCUCCCAGGCUACAAACCUGUACAGCAUGUUACUAUACUGAAUACUGUAGGGAAUUAUAACACAAUAGUAAGUAUUGUGUAUCUAAACAUACCUAAGUAUAGAAAAGGUAUUGUAAAAAUACAGUAAAAAGAUAAUAAGUGGUGCACCCACUGUGUAGGGCACUUACUGUGAAUGGAGCUUGCAGCGCUGGAAGUUGCUUUGGGUGAGUCAGUGAGUGAGUGGUACGUGGAUGUGAAGGACUAGGACAUUACUGUAGACUUUAUAAACACUGUACACUUAGGCUAUACUAAUUUUAUUUAAAAAUUAUCUUCGAAGUUUAGUUC